rfam:Brassica oleracea var. oleracea cultivar TO1000 chromosome C3, whole genome shotgun sequence
UUUUUGUCGUAACUUUAAAAACUAAUACAUAAAGUACAAUGGGUGUUUACAUCAGCUUUAUCUCUGCUUCGGCCUUGGGAUAUUAGUUAAACUAGAACACUAUAUUA